UCUUAAAUGCAGAUUUCCUGCUAAAAGGC
rnacentral:piRNA from 1 species